GAUAACAUCUUUAGAACCCAAUUUGGGAGAAGAUUCCUUCGAUCUUUGAUACGCUCAUUCAGACCAGGUUCAGUGGUGGUAGAUUCCGAGCUAAUUUUUGCCAAUGCCAGCUUAGUGCCAGCAGCUAUUGAAGCACAAAUCACUCUGGUAGAGGCAGCGUCCAACAAUUCCAACUUCUCCCUGCCAGUGAAUGUGUCAACCAUUGUUGCAACUGGACCUACACCUGUCAACGAAACAACUGCUGCCCCCAAUGCUACAGUGGCCCCAACUGCUGCCCCCAAUUCUACAGUGGCCCCAACUGC